GUUUUUUCAAAUGUAUCAACAGUACGCCAGAGAAGCACCACAGACAGGCCACAGCCAACUGAUGAAGAUGGUGGGAAUGCAGGUUCUUCUUCUGCAAGCCGCCCUCCUCUAAGGCGGCCAUCACAGGGCUCUGUGAGUUUGCCUAGGAGGCCCAGUAAGACACGUCGUGUGGAGUCUGAGUCUGCGGCUCCAUCUUCACCACCCAGGCGGCGCAUCUCCGCAGUGUUGCCCCAGCCACCUCUGGAAAUUUUGGCAAGUCCUCAAAGUGAUGAGCCACGAUCACCUCAGCUGUCUGAACCAACCAUCAUGGGCGAGGACGACCAGCAGGAACCUGACCAACAGGCUACCUUUACACUGCACCUGCAGCCCGUUGAUCCUACCCAGCCAACCCAGCAGCAGGAUAUGCCCCAAGCCUCCGUAAGCCCCCAAUUGAUCCCAACUCCACCCCAGCAACAAAUGUCCGCAGACUUUUGGAGCAGUUGGGCCACACAACAGGUCCAAAACACUGCCUACCUGAACACACACACACAACACCUUGCCAGUCUGCCGCAUCAUCUUCCUCGCAUUAGUA